CAGAAGCAGCAGCCAGGGUGAGUAGCCCCAUUUAAACUUCUGAGGAGUGCUCUCUUAGGGAUGAUUAUACCUCUGAGUUUAAAGAGGGGGAAGGACCAAAGAGUGUCUUAAAGUUGUUUUCCCUAGCACUGUGGGUGGAUAGGAGGGAUUUGAAAGAAAAUGGGAGGUUUCAGCAUUGUCCUUUGCAUAAGAGGGUUCGGAAGGAAAAGAGGGAAGGGGAGGAGGAGUAGAAAGAACACUGUUGUAAACCCCAAAUUCUCCCCUUCAACUGAAGCAUCUUGUAAAAAAAAAAAAAAAGAAGAAGAAAACUGGCCACGUGCUGUUUUCAGGAUGGGCGCUGGUGGUGCGCCGAGGACUAACAGUGCUUCCUCCCUCCGAAUGUGAAGGCAUUAAGCUCCCGUUCCUCUUGCCUUUCCCCGUUUCGAAGGUUUGAACCAGUCAGCCUCAGCCAGCUCACUGCAGGACGCGGAAGUUUUGAAAAAGCACUAGGGUUACGGACAGAGACCAUCGUUUUAGAACUACCACUCAGUUCCAACACCGGCCCACUUCAGAAGGACCCCAAACCAAAGAGAGCCAACAAGAGAGAGAGAGGGCGGGCCCCCCACCUAAGCCAGCCAGGGGAGGCCCAGCGCGGACUCCAUAUUCUGCAACGACUGUCUCCUCACACUGUCACCGCUCUGCUGGGAUUUCCAACACCUUCACCUCCCCCAAGGCGCCCGGCCCAAAAACACCCCGAAGCGGAGGCGAGAGGGAGGCCCGGGGCGCACCGGGCGGUGGUCACAUGCACUAGCGCGCCGGGAGCACCACGUUGCCCCGGCUGCGGAGGAAUGCCGGGAAGGGGGCGCGCACUUACACCCGCGCAGACGCACCCUUCGCGCCUCGGGCCCGCACCCGCCUCCCACCCUGGCCGCCGCGACCCGCACCGAACGCACAGGCCCCGCGGGCCGCCGGCGCAGCGCAUGGCGCCCAACUGUCACCCGCCCGCCCGGCCACUCCCUCCCCGCGGCCACACGCCCCUCGAGUCGCCGCAAGCCCCUCACCCGCCUCACGUUUUCCGCCGGCCCUAACUGGCUCUCCCUGCCACCCCACCCCUCGGCACACUCGCCGCGGGGCUCCAGCUCAAGGCGGAAGGUGCCCGGCAUUGGAGGGAAACCACUGCAUCCAAUGACACGUUGGGUUUCCUCCUUCCCUCGUCCUCCCUUAACUGACCUCAGUCUGUCUCCGAAUGGCGAUUCUCCGGCCCAACACCAUCUCCUCGACAGCAAACUUGCUAACUUUUAAAUCCCGAGUCCGUGCGGCCCGCCGGAGCUCGGCGCCGGGCUGCCCCUGACAUAUGCUCAUUAAGCGUUUACAACGUGGGGACGCUCGCAACGCGGCCGAAACCCGGGCGCGGUAGGAGAGGGGGCCUCCCAGGAAGGUGCCCACCGGAGACCGUCUGGACCAACGCGCGGCCGGGGACAGAAGGCCCUUCCCCGGCACCAGCACCCACCCCCUCUUCUAUGGCGAGGUGCAGUCCCAGGAAGUGUUACACAGGAAAUGGUCUGCCUUCCAAUACCGGCUCUGCUGCUACUUUCUAUGGAUCUUUUCCCCUUUUUGGACUUCAGUUUUCCCUUAUCUAAAAAAAAGUCUAAAUGUUCCAGAGCAACAGAAAGAGAGGGCAAGACGGGGGCGGGGGGAUCUUUCAUCCAUCUACUGGUUCUCUCCACAAAUGGCCGCAACAGCCAGUUGUGGACCAAGCCAAAGCCAGGAAACAAGAACCCCAUGCAGAUAUCCCACAUGGGUGGCAGGGACCCAAGUACCUGGGCCAUCACCUGAUGCUUUCCCAGCACUAGCAGGAAGCUGGAUGGGAAGCAGAGCAGCCCAGACAUACAAGCAUUCUAACUAGUGUUCCAGUAUGGGAUUCCAGCUCGCAAAUGGUGGCUUGACCUGCUGCACCAUAAUGCAGGCCCCAUCUGAGCUAUCUCAAUAGCACUGUAUGUUAUGUCCUGCCUGUACUGGCAAAAAGAAUGCACACGGACCACAGGAGUGAGGCUGCAAGGUGAUGGAGCCGCCCAGUUGCUGAUGCCCGGGACAGUCACUGGAUCGGUGAGGUUUGCAACUUCCCACAGCAUCUGGAUCUCUGGGUCUGUUUGAAAGCAGUGGUAAGAACAAGGAACUACAAAUGAAGGUGAGUGAUGUGGCAAAGUGUGUAGAAAUCACUAGAUUAAGAAAAGGAAAAUCCUGGGAUUGGCUCUGUGGCACAGUGGCGCAGUGGGUUAAUGCCCUGGCCUGAAGUGCCGGCAUCCUGUAUGGGUGCAGAUUCUAGUCCUGACUGCUCCUCUUCCCAUCCAGCUCUCUGCUGUGGCCCGGGAUAGCAGUAGAAGAUGGCCCAAGUCCUUGGGCCCCUGCACCCACGUGGGAGACCUGGAAGAAGCUCCUGGCUCCUGGCUUCGGAUUGAUGCAGCUCUGGCUGUUGUAGCUAAUUGGGGAGUGAACCAUCGGAUGGAAGACCCUCUCUCUCUCUCUCUAUGCCUCUCCUCCCCCUGUGUAACUCUGACUUGCAAAUAAAUAAAUCUUAAAAAAAAAAUAAGAUAAAGAAAAUCCAACUCAUUUUGCAUGGGCAGCACUGCCUAUUGUGUUUUCUGAAAACUUCCAAGGUAAUGGCUCCUGGGAGCCCUACACCUGAGAAGAGCAGGAAGCAUUACAGUAUGUCUGCCACUCUCUGGCAAAAACAAAAACAAAAACAAAAA